rnacentral:rRNA from 1 species
UACGUAGGGUGCGAGCGUUGUCCGGAAUUACUGGGCGUAAAGAGCUCGUAGGUGGUUUGUCGCGUUGUCCGUGAAAACUCACAACUCAAUUGUGGGCGUGCGGGCGAAACGGGCAGACUGGAGUACUGCAGGGGAGACUGGAAUUCCUGGUGUAGCGGUGGAAUGCGCAGAUAUCAGGAGGAACACCGGUGGCGAAGGCGGGUCUCUGGGCAGUAACUGACGCUGAGGAGCGAAAGCGUGGGGAGCGAACAGG